UUCCAAGUUCCUUAUCAGUCAUGUCAUCGGAAAAAGCUUCUCGAUUGGUGGCACAAAUCCACUUCAAUGCACCCUGCUAGAGGCAAGCAACGACAUGUUGACCCUUAAAACUUUCAGUCACAGGAAUAGCGAGAGGAUGGUUGCCAUACUUGGAAUUAAAGUUGCAGGAACUCCGAUACAAAAAGAACAAAAUGAGUUUUCUGAAGAUGCUAACAACAUCCUAGCAGCACUACAAACAACAUUAACGCAGAGGACAAGCGGAGUAAGAUCACUAGGAGAAGUAUAUAUGAAGG